CCUACGGGCGGCUGCAGUGGGGAAUAUUGCACAAUGGGGGCAACCCUGAUGCAGCGACGCCGCGUGAGUGAAGACGUCUUUCGGUAUGUAAAGCUCUAUCAGCGGGGAAGAAAAUGACGGUACCUGAUUAAGAAGCCCCGGCUAACUACGUGCCAGCAGCCGCGGUAAUACGUAGGGCGCAAGCGUUAUCAGGAUUUACUGGGGGUAAAGGGAGCGUAGACGGCUGCGCAAGUCUGAAGUGAAAUGCCGGGGCUUAACCCCGGAACUGCUUUGGAAACUGUGCAGCUAGAGUGCAGGAGAGGGAAGUGGAAUUCCGAGUGUAGCGGUGAAAUGCGUAGAUAUUAGGAGGAACACCAGUGGCGAAGGCGGCUUACUGGACUGUAACUGACGUUGAGGCUCGAAAGCGUGGGGAGCAAACAGGAUUAGAUACCCCAGUAGUC
rnacentral:rRNA from 1 species